GAGAGCGUUCUAAGUGCGUUGAAGUCAGACCGGAAGGACUGGUGGAGCGCUUAGAAGUGAGAAUGCCGGUAUGAGUAGCGAAAGACGGGUGAGAAUCCCGUCCACCGUAUGACUAAGGUUUCCUGAGGAAGGCUCGUCCGCUCAGGGUUAGUCGGGACCUAAGCCGAGGCCGAUAGGCGUAGGCGAUGGACAACAGGUUGAUAUUCCUGUACCACCUCCUCACCGUUUGAGAGAUGGGGGGACGCAGUAGGAUAGGGUAAGCGCGCUGUUGGAUAUGCGCGUCCAAGCAGUAAGGCGUGUGUGUAGGCAAAUCCGCACACUAUAACGUUGAGCUGUGAUGGCGAGUCCGUAUGGACGAAGUUCCUGAUUUCACACUGCCAAGAAAAGCCUCUAUCGAGGUGAGAGGUGCCCGUACCGCAAACCGACACAGGUAGUCGAGGAGAGAAUCCUAAGGUGUGCGAGA
rnacentral:rRNA from 1 species